CUAUUAGCAAUGAUUGGAAAUAUUAAAAGGGAACAGUAAGCUUAUCAGAGAGCCGAUGGUUGGUGAGAAUCGGUAGUUAUUGCCCUUUGAACUCGUCCAAGAGCUACUCCCUGAACUAUGAAAGUAAGGGUUGUCGGUUUUCUACCGUUAUGAAGAUAGGUGGUGAUAGCCACCGAAAAUGAGUGGAUUAAUUAUUGAUUAAUCAAUUAGAGUGGUACCGCGAGCAAUGCCUCGUCUCUAUA
rnacentral:ncRNA from 1 species